GCUUGUCUCAAAGAUUAAGCCAUGCAUGUCUAAGUAUAAAUGUUAUACAGUGAAACUGCGAAUGGCUCAUUAAAACAGUUAUAGUUUAUUUGAUAAUCGAAUUUACAUGGAUAACCGUGGUAAUUCUAGAGCUAAUACAUGCCAAAACCGCAAGGUUGUAUUUAUUAGAUAUACCAAGUAGGUGAAUCAUAAUAACUUCGCAAAUCGCAACUAAGUUGCGAUAAAUCAUUCAAGUUUCUGCCCUAUCAUGCUUUCGAUGGUAGUGUAUUGGACUACCAUGGCUCUCACGGGUAACGGGGAAUUAGGGUUCGAUUCCGGAGAAGGAGCCUGAGAAACGGCUACUACAUCUAAGGAAGGCAGCAGG
rnacentral:rRNA from 1 species